rnacentral:rRNA from 1 species
AAUGAACGCUGGCGGCAGGCCUAACACAUGCAAGUCGAACGAGUGGCGGACGGGUGAGUAAUGUCUAGGAACCUGCUUUAUGGAGGGGGAUACCUACUGGAAACGGUAGCUAAUACCGCAUACCAGCAGCUGUUCCCAGAUGGGAGUAGCUUGUUGGUGGGGUAACGGCUCACCAAGGCGACGAUCCCUAGCUGGUCUGAGAGGUUGACCAGCAACACUGGAACUGAGACACGGUCCAGACUCCUACGGGAGGCAGCAGUAGGGAAUAUUGCGCAAUGGGCGAAAGCCUGAUGCAGCCAUGCCGCGUGUAUGAAGAAGGCCUUCGGGUUGUAAAGUACUUUCAGCGGGGAGGCGGUACCCGCAGAGGAAGCACCGGCUAACUCCGUGCCAGCAGCCGCGGUAAUUC